AAUAGGGCGGCACCUUGACGGUACCUAACCAGAAAGCCACGGCUAACUACGUGCCAGCAGCCGCGGUAAUACGUAGGUGGCAAGCGUUGUCCGGAAUUAUUGGGCGUAAAGCGCGCGCAGGCGGUUUUUUAAGUCUGAUGUGAAAGCCCCCGGCUCAACCGGGGAGGGUCAUUGGAAACUGGGGAACUUGAGUGCAGAAGAGGAGAGUGGAAUUCCACGUGUAGCGGUGAAAUGCGUAGAGAUGUGGAGGAACACCAGUGGCGAAGGCGACUCUCUGGUCUGUAACUGACGCUGAGGCGCGAAAGCGUGGGGAGCGAACAGGAUUAGAUACCCUGGUAGUCCACGCCGUAAACGAUGAGUGCUAAGUGUUAGAGGGUUUCCGCCCUUUAGUGCUGCAGCAAACGCAUUAAGCACUCCGCCUGGGGAGUACGGUCGCAAGACUGAAACUCAAAGGAAUUGACGGGGGCCCGCACAAGCGGUGGAGCAUGUGGUUUAAUUCGAAGCAACGCGAAGAACCUUACCAGGUCUUGACAUCCUCUGACAACCCUAGAGAUAGGGCUUCCCCUUCGGGGGCAGAGUGACAGGUGGUGCA
rnacentral:rRNA from 1 species